AUUUGAAUGUGUUUGCUGAUUGCAGGCACUGAAAUCAUGUCUAAGUAUUUGCCGUUCUCUUAUUUCUUCCCCUCUCCCUGUUAGGCUACAAAAGACACUGAGGAAAAUAGUCACUCUGAUGAUGAGGAUGAGACUCCUCAAUACCAGAAGAUAGAGGAUGAUCCAUGCAGGACUCCAAAACGGCCAAAGACAGAUGACAAGGAUGACAUGAUAGAGGAGCUCAAACUAAGAGUAAAAGACAAGGAAAAGGAGAUCAGGCGGUUGAGAAGAUUGAAUCUUCAACUGCAAGAAGGGCUGGCAGAUACUAUCACACAAACUGUCAAAGAUGCUAUACAGGCCACUAAGCCUGUACCCAGCCACCAAGCCCCUCCAAUCAGCAGAG